AAUAAAGGAAAAAGGGGGCCAUAAGUCUUCUACACUAGAAACUUCAAGAAGAAAAAAAUUGAGAGCAUCAACAAAGGGCCAUUCGGCCACUACAAGAAAAAAAACAUUGUGGAGCUCAAAUCUUUGGUUCAAAACUCACCUCCUUUGAAUUCUUACUAAGCCCGGAACCCUCUUCAACGUGGUAUAAACUUUGAGGCAAGAAAACACUUUUUUUACCAAGUGGAGAAUUUGGAAAAGAUAUUGGAGAGCCCGAGACUUGAGUCGGGAUUUGUUUGGCGAGUGAUCGAGAUUUGGUAGUGAGCGAUCGAGGUACGGACGUUCAUUUUGGUGAUCCUCCAGUAUAGGAUACAUAUUCUGCCACUUGGAUUGCUCCUUUUGAUUCGGAGCUCAUAUUUUUGGUACAUAUCUUCUGUUAUACACAUUCUGUAUAUAUGACUAUUUGGGUACGGCGGGGCCCUAUCCCGUCAUAUGUUUUGUUAUGUUUUGUAGAGGCCUGUAGUCAUAUAUGUGGGUCAUGGGUCAUGUUUGUUCGUUGUGAUUAUGAUCUGCGUCUUAAUGCGGCCCCGUUUACUAUUAUGGCCAAAACGACCCAUUUGUCUGUAUAUGUGUAUAUAUCUGGCGAUAUGUAUUCCGCCAAUCUAUUGGAUUUGGAUAUGAUGUUUCUGUACGGGCGACCGCUUAAGAUGAUAUUUGCUUUCAGUACUUGCUUAAAAUGACGUAUGUUAA